rnacentral:tRNA from 1 species
GCCCAGGUGGUGGAAUUGGUAGACACGCUAGACUCAGGAUCUAGUGGCCAUUGCGGCUGUGGGAGUUCAAGUCUCCCCUUGGGCACCA